AUUGAACGCUGGCGGCAUGCCUUACACAUGCAAGUCGAACGGUAACAGGUCUUCGGAUGCUGACGAGUGGCGAACGGGUGAGUAAUACAUCGGAACGUGCCCGAGAGUGGGGGAUAACGAGGCGAAAGCUUUGCUAAUACCGCAUACGAUCUCAGGAUGAAAGCAGGGGACCGCAAGGCCUUGCGCUCACGGAGCGGCCGAUGGCAGAUUAGGUAGUUGGUGGGAUAAAAGCUUACCAAGCCGACGAUCUGUAGCUGGUCUGAGAGGACGACCAGCAACACUGGGACUGAGAGACGGCCCAGACUCCUACGGGAGGCAGGAGUGGGGAAUUUUGGACAAUGGGCGCAAGCCUGGUCCAGCCAUGCCGCGUGCAGGAUGAAGGCCUUCGGGUUGUAAACUGCUUUUGUACGGAACGAAAAGACUCUGGUUAAUACCUGGGGUCCAUGACGGUACCGUAAGAAUAAGCACCGGCUAACUACGUGCCAGCCGCCGCAGUAAUAC
rnacentral:rRNA from 1 species